rnacentral:rRNA from 1 species
UAAGGAAUAUUGCGCAAUGGGCGACAGCCUGACGCAGCGACGCCGCGUGGGGGAUGAAGGUCUUCGGAUUGUAAACCCCUUUCGGCAGGGAAGAUGGAACGGGUAACCGUUCGGACGGUACCUGCAGAAGCAGCCACGGCUAACUUCGUGCCAGCAGCCGCGGUAAUACGAAGGUGGCAAGCGUUGUUCGGAUUUACUGGGCGUACAGGGAGCGUAGGCGGUUGGGUAAGCCCUCCGUGAAAUCUCCGGGCCUAACCCGGAAAGUGCGGAGGGGACUGCUCGGCUAGAGGAUGGGAGAGGAGCGCGGAAUUCCAGGUGUAGCGGUGAAAUGCGUAGAUAUCUGGAGGAACACCGGUGGCGAAGGCGGCAUCCUGGACCGGUAUUGACGCUGAGGCGCGAAAGCCAGGGGAGCAAACGGGAUUAGAUACCCAUGUAGUCCCUGAGCGGGCUGGCAAGGCGCAU